UACAGAGGGUGCGAGCGUUAAUCGGAAUUACUGGGCGUAAAGCGUGCGUAGACGGUUAUUUAAGUCGGGUGUGAAAGCCCCGGGCUCAACCUGGGAAUUGCAUUCGAGACUGAAUAGCUAGGGUACGGUAGAGGGAAGUGGAAUUUCCGGUGUAGCGGUGAAAUGCGUAGAUAUCGGAAGGAACAUCAGUGGCGAAAGCGACUUCCUGGACCAGUACCGACGUUCAGGCACGAAAGCGCGGGGAGCAAACAGG
rnacentral:rRNA from 1 species